AUUGAACGCUGGCGGCAGGCCUAACACAUGCAAGUCGAGCGGAUGAAGGGAGCUUGCUCCUGGAUUCAGCGGCGGACGGGUGAGUAAUGCCUAGGAAUCUGCCUGGUAGUGGGGGACAACGUUUCGAAAGGAACGCUAAUACCGCAUACGUCCUACGGGAGAAAGCAGGGGACCUUCGGGCCUUGCGCUAUCAGAUGAGCCUAGGUCGGAUUAGCUAGUUGGUGAGGUAAUGGCUCACCAAGGCGACGAUCCGUAACUGGUCUGAGAGGAUGAUCAGUCAAACUGGAACUGAGACACGGUCCAGACUCCUACGGGAGGCAGCAGUGGGGAAUAUUGGACAAUGGGCGAAAGCCUGAUCCAGCCAUGCCGCGUGUGUGAAGAAGGUCUUCGGAUUGUAAAGCACUUUAAGUUGGGAGGAAGGGCAGUAAAUUAAUACUUUGCUGUCUUGACGUUACCGACAGAAUAAGCACCGGCUAACUCUGUGCCAGCAGCCGCGGUAACAC
rnacentral:rRNA from 1 species